GUCUAAACAUCUGAACUGGACUUGCAGGUUCAUUGAUGCCUUCUGUGUUUGUACAAUCCUCCAAAGUAUACUAAGAGUGUCCAGUGAGAGUAGGUGAAAACUAUCUUCUCAUUAUAUUCGUCUCCUUUCCAUUCAAUUGUUUUGUAGAGACCUCAGCUUCAACAGACUGAGUGGCGAAAUCCCCAACUCCUUCAGCAACCUGGUAGCAGUAGAUAAUAUCUAUCUGACCGGAAACCAAUUGACUGGAGCAGUUCCUGAUUGAAUCCUGGAGAAAGCAGAAAAUGUUGAUUUAUCAUACAACUCCUUCACUGCUGGAGGCUCAGGAUGUCAAAAUCGAUCUAUCAACUUGUUCGCAAGCUCGGUGGUUGACAAUGCAACCUCUUAUACUGCCAGAAGUGGACUUGUCUCAUGUUUAAAAAGUCAGCGUUGUCAAAAAAGUAAGUUGAUCUACUGUAUAUCCUAUCGUUAUCAUCAGAUCCUGAUACUGCAUCAUACUCUGUGUAUUUUUGCAUCAAAUUUGUCUCCUUGUCAACUCUCUUCUUGGCUAUUGUAUCAAUCUUUGAUGGUUAAUGCACAAUUGCUCUAGAAAUUUUUAAAGCCGCCUCCAUGAAAUAGUUUGUUGCUCAUAAACUUGGGAGUUUCUAUGUGAUUUUCCAGUAAGGGAAUGCAAGUUCAUUUAAUGUGUCUGGAAAGUC